CACCCACUGCAUAUGGAAGUUUCCAGGCUAGGGGUCGAAUCAGAGCUGCAGUCAAGGUCUACACCACAGCUACAGCAACCCCAGAUCCGAGCCGCGUCUGCAACCUACACCACAGCUCAUGGAAAGGUCAGAUCCUUAACCCACUAAGCAAGGCCAGGGAUUAAACCCGCAUCUUCACAGACACUAGGUCAGGUUCUUAACCCACUGGGCCACAUUAUUCGGGCUGGUGUUCUACACAAGAAACAGGCAACCUCUGCGUGUCUGCCUGAGUUGGCUCUAGCGGCCAGCGGGUGUGCAGCAAUCUGGGCACCUGAAGCACUGGUAUCUCAGGAGGAAAGGACAGCGACGGGCUGGAAAGAGGGCACUGAAAGCCACCGCGCCAACGACAGAGCGCAAACUGCCCCACUGCCGGCAGAAAGGGCAGCCCCCCCACAGCCUCCAGUCUGCGAGGUUUCCAGGCCUCAGGUCACAACACGUCCAAGGGCAGGACGGGACCAAGCCUCACAACACGUCCCGAUCCGAUUCCUGACCACCGAGGUUCCCGAAUGACCGAGGGACGGGCCAGCUCCAGGGCAGUCCUACCACCCUCGACCCAGAGGAGAAAAGCCAGGAAACCAAGCUCAGCCCUGGGGCCAGGGGUGGAACCGCAGGAGCCCUGGCGUGCUUCCAGGAGCAGUGAGCUGCCCUGGGCAGGGUCAGCAGCUCAGCUCUGCCGCUGUCUAGCAAGAGGCGCAAGGCCGCUCACGCACGGCUGCCGCUGCCCGCGCCUGUAAUGGGGUCUGAGAAUUCAAACCCUACUUUACCUGUGGACGCAGAGGACGUGUGAGGACAUGCAAAAAGCACUCGGUCCACGGCCUCACACCCAACAAGUGCUUCUUCUCUGCCCUCCCAGAGUCACCCUGCAACUCUGAAAACACACCAAAGGACACUCACGUGAGGACGCUCCCGAUACAGGGCUGCUCUAAAGGCGGGCGCCCCUUUCAGGACGAUUUCAACGGAAAGCCACGUGGACUCUCUGGGAAGCAGAGCCUGCCAAGGAGCACUUAAUCUAUCUGGUAGGGUCACCCGCCAUCAGUUCAAGCAUGAGAAUGAAUGGGACUUAUUAUACGCUAACAACGCUCAUUUAGAUGCAGGUACACAAGCUGCUAACUCGGAACCUACUGAAAAGCAGGACAAUGAUGUCGGUGACUCUUGGCUUCUGUCCUGAUUCAGCUUCUUAAAGACAAACAGAAGAUUUCACAGGCUACCUUGAGAAUCUGUGGGUGGCUUUCCACUUCCUCGGGUUACUGAUGGACACCUCACCUGUGCCAUAUGCAUUCCCACGUUACCUUGCUGCAAGGAGGCCCCACCCCACGCCAGGCCCCACGGGAAAAGUAAGAAUGAACUCAUGCCAAAAGUCACCAGGAAUGCGCAAAGUGACAGCAGAGAGGGCUGGUUAAGGGGGGGCUAAGUGACCUCCAGAGAAAUAAUGGCACUCAAUCUAAUUCCUGCUAGAGACGCAACAGUUUAAAAC
rnacentral:lncRNA from 1 species